AGCACAGUGGCGCAGUGGGUAGCACUGUGGCCUUCCAGGUAGAAGGUUGUCGGUUCAAGGCUCGCCUGUGCUU